UUGAAGAAUUUGAAUACUUCAACUUGCAUAUUUGAAGGAUUUAAAGACUUCAGCAUGCAUACUUGAGGAUUCGAAGACUUUAACU
rnacentral:pre_miRNA from 1 species